ACAGAGCCCCCGGCAGCCAAGCUACCGGGUGUCCUGGCCCCCUUCAGUUCCCUCCCUUGUCCUCCUCGAGGACCCCCCAACUCAGGCACCCACACCACGGGGGGCUGCGGGACCCCGAGCCUCACUCGUGCCACCGGCCACCCAGCGUCCCCUGCAUCUUCCCCGGGGACUCACACACCGCCUCGAGGCCACUCCGCCCCUCCGGAUGGAUGUCCAAGCCUCCAGCCAGGGCCCCUUCCCUGCUUCAUCUCCAGGGUUGACGGAGGUCGAAGGAGCACAUGUCUGCUUGCAGGGCACGCCAGGUCCUGAUGGACACUGACGUCUAGACCUAGACGGUGGCUCAGCCUGAACCCUGGACGGCCUGGAGCACAGCCAUGCAACUGCUUCUAAGACAAAACCGAGGUGGGGAUUAAAGCUACCCUCCCAGGCCGCCUGGCUGGAAACUCAUCCCCCUCUGUCCCCAGCCCCUGCAGCCCCCAUCACUGCCGCUGACAGCCGCAGGGUGUGGCUCACAGAGGGACAGCAGGGAGGGAGAGACGGACGGGGUGGGAUCCUGGGGGCCUGUGGCCUUCAGAGCGUCUCACUGCCCCAGCCUUGAUGGGGUUGUCUGUAGAGCGGGGAUUCAGCUGCCUGGUCUGUGGCGACUGUCCGGUGGCCCAGGGGGUGGACGUGACUCUCCUGUGCGACUUUGUUUUUCUGAGACGGAGUCUUGCAGUGGCGCGAUCUCGGCUCACUGCAACCCUCGCCUCCCGGGUUCAAGCGAUUCUCUUGCCUCAGCCUCCCGAGCAGCUGGGACUACAGGUGUGUGCCACCACACCGGCCUAAUUUUCUUUUCUUUUCUUUUCUUUUCUUUUUAUUUUUUGAGACGGAGUUUCACUCUUUCGCCCAGGCUGGAGUGCAGUGGCGUGAUCUCAGCUCACUGCAAACUCCGCCUCUCGGGUUCAGGCCAUUCUCCUGCCUCAGCCUCCUGAGUAGCUGGGACCACAGGCGCCUGCCACCACGCCCAGCUAAUUUUUUUUUUUGUAUUUUUUAGUAGAGACGGGGUUUCACCCUGUUAGCCAGGAUGGUCUCGAUCUCCUGACCUCAUGAUCCGCCCGCCUCAGCCUCCCAAAGUGCUGGGAUAACAGGCGUGAACCACCAUGCCCAGCCACGCCCAGCUAAUUUUCUGUAUUUUAGUAGAGAUGGGAUUUCACCAUGUUGCCCAGGCUGGUCUUGAACUCCUGGGUCCAGGCAGUCUGCCCACCUUGGCCUCCCAAAGUACUGAGAUUACAGGCAUGAGCCACCGGGCCUGGCCCCACGGUGUGACUUUGACCUCCUCAUGGGAGGAAAAAGCAGGAUGAAGCGGGGAUGAUGUCUGUCGGUCCUCAGCAGGAGCAUCUGCCAACGUCUCCACAUUGUGGACCUGAGAUUGUUCUCCGGAAGCUGCAGUCGGAGCAUCGCCAGGCCCAGCCCUGGGUCCUCCACCCGGGCCACUGCCUCUCAGGCGGCCUCUCCCUGCCCCCGCCCCUCCGGGGCCCCACAGGGCGGCCAGUGCAGACCUGGGUGUGCAACGGCCCCAUCAGCGUUUGUUUCAUGAACAAAUAAAUGUCUAAAUUCAGGACCCAUCCAGGAGUCCCCUUUUUCUUUCAGUGAGAUGAAGUUCCUAUAACAUAGAAUUCCAGUGUGGGCAGCCGGGCACGGUGGCUCACGCCUGUCAUCCCAGCACUUUGGGAGGGCGAGGCGGGCGGAUCACUUGAGGUCAGGAGUUCAAGACCACCCCGACCAACAUGAUGAAACCCCAUCUCUACUAAAAAUACAAAAUUAGCCGGGUGUGGUGGCGGGCACCUGUAAUCCCAGCUACUCCAGAGGCUGAGGUGGGAGAAUCGCUUGAAGCAGGGAGGCAGAAGUUUUGGUGGGUCAAGAUCGUGCCGCUGCACUCCAGCCUGGGCAACACAGAGAGACCUCAAAAAAAAAAAUUCCAGCGUGGCAACAUAGCAAGACCCCAUCUCUAUUAAAAAUAAAAGGCUAGGCUGGGCGCAGUGGCUCACACCUGUAAUCCCAGCACUUUGGGAGGCCGAGGCAGGCUGAUCACGAGGUCAGGAGAUCAAGACUAUCCUGGCUAACACGGCGAAACCCCAUCUCUACUAAAAAUACAAAAAAUUAGCCGGGUGUGGUGGCGGGCGCCUGUAGUCCCAGCUACUCGGGAGGCUGAGGCAGGAGAAUGGCGUGAACCCGGGAGGUGGAGCUUGCAGUGAGCUGAGAUCGUGCCACUGCACUCCAGCCUGGGCGACAGAGCGAGACUCCGUCUCAAAAAAAACCCACAAACAACAAACAAACAAACAAAACCAACAACAACAACAAAAAGAAAAAAAGAAAUGUCCAGGACAGACAGACCAAGCCACAGAGACAGGAAGGGGAUGCAUGGAUUCUCAGGGAUGGGGAGGGGAUGGGGAGUGACAGAUGAUGCCCCAACCACAAAGGAUGAUGGGAAUAUCCUGGAAUUAGAGGUGACAGCAGCACAGCACCGUGAAGGCACCAAAUCCCACUGAAUUAUUCACUACAAUGCUUAAUUCUGUUUUUCCUUUUUCUUUUCUUUUCUUUUUUUUUUUUCUGAGAUGGAGUCUCGCUCUGUCGCCCAGGCUAGAAUCCAGUGGCGCGAUCUCGGCUCACUGCAAGCUGCGCCUCCUGGGUUCACACCAUUCUCCUGCCUCAGCCUCCUGAGUAGCUGCGACUACAGGCGCCCGCCACCACACCCGGCUAAUUUUUGUAUUUUUAGUAGGGACGGGGUUUUGCCAUGUUAGCCAGGAUGGUCUCGAUCUCCUGACCUCGUGAUCCGCCGGCUCGGCCUCCCAAAGUGCUGGGAUCACAGGCGUGAGCCACCACGCCUGGCCCUGGACAUUUCAUGGAAAUGGGAUCACACGCUGUGUGGCCUUUCGUGUCGGGCAUCCGUCUGAGCCCUACAUCCUCAGGGUGCAUCUGCGCUGUGGCUGGCGUCAGAGCCUUGCUCUCUGCUCCUCUCCGUUUCCAUCCACGCCUGGCUCCCGUGAAUCGUGCCACUGUUUCCUUCCACGCCUGGCUCCUGUGGACUCCGUCCAUGCCUGGCUCCCGUGAAUCAUGCUGCUGUUUCCUUCCACGCUUGGCUCUCGUAACUCGUGCCACUGUUUCCUUCCACGCCUGGCUCCUGUGGCUCGUGCCACUGUUUCCGUCCACCCCUGGCUCCCGUGGCUCAUGCUGCUGUGAACAUGUUUAUUGAGAGCCGCUGUGUUCGGUUAUCUGGGGUGGAUUCCUCGGAGCCGCACGGUGGGGUUAGACGGCGCCGCUGUCUGGCUUUCUGAAGCACUGAUCCAUGUUUUCCACGGCGGCUGCCCGCUUCCCAUUCCCUCCCAGCAGCCAGUGUGGCUUCUCCUCCUGUGGACUAAACCCGGGGCCCAGGAUUCAAACGCCAGGGUGAGGCCUCAGCCCCGGUGCAGGGUGUGUGUUCAUCAUCUGAAAACCAUGUGCCCAGGAGGGAAUUGGGCAAUUUCAGCGAGUUCAGGCAAUCCUCCUGGAAGCUGCCUGAGAUCCGGUGGGCUGGAAAAACUGGCCUGGAUGUUUCCUGCCCCAGUUUUCUGAGUCUGGAAGUUCCUUUCCCUGAGAAGAGAAGCUCCAGGAGGUGCCCGGUGACCCUCAUGACGUCCCCCAGGGCAGGGAUGUCAAUGUGGCGACUUCACUUACAGAUAAGGACACUGAGGCUGGGAGAGGGGUAGGCCUUGCCCAGGGUCCCUCAGGGGCAUGUGGCAGAGCUGGGAAUCUGUCCUGGGCUUGGAGCCUGAGCUCCCAACACCGAAGGAACCUGAGGAUGCUGUGUGGCACCUGGAACCAGCUGAGCCUGAAGCUGGCCCUACAUUGAUGUUUCAGUUACGGGAACCCAUAAAGCCUAGUUUUGC
rnacentral:lncRNA from 1 species